UGUAUAUUAAAGUGAUUCAUCAAACCAAUGCAAGCACAGCUUGAGAGGAGGCCUAGAGGAGCAUCACGAGGUUCUCUGUGUCCUGAGAACUGGUCUGCAGUGCACCUCCACAACGAAAAGGAAUAGGACUGAACACCGUGCUAGCUGACUGGAAGGUCGAGACGCAGGCGUCCCUGGAGGUGGCUGGCCCGUAGUGCACAUUCCUCUUGCACCUUUAAUCUAGAGCGGCACACAUGGAUGAUGUUUGAGAACAGUGUGCUAUCUUUUGCCUCUUUUUCGGGCAUCUAAAGAGAUCUGUUCACCCCUGUAUAUUAAAAAGAGGAGAGCCAUGUGCAGAUGGAUCUCAGAAGUUGUCCUGGGACCAGACGCGGAUGGUGUAAGUUGUGCAUCUUUUCUUUACAGCUGUGAAUUGAACUGCACUCUUAUCUUCUGAGGCCAACUUUCAAGAA